rnacentral:rRNA from 1 species
GACGAACGCUGGCGGCGUGCUUAACACAUGCAAGUCGAGCGGUAAGGCCCUUUCGGGGGUACACGAGCGGCGAACGGGUGAGUAACACGUGGGUGACCUGCCCUCAGCUCUGGGAUAAGCCUGGGAAACCGGGUCUAAUACCGGAUAUGACUCCAUGACGCAUGUUGUGGGGUGGAAAGCCUUGUGCGGCUGAGGAUGGGCCCGCGGCCUAUCAGCUUGUUGGUGGGGUGAUGGCCUACAAGGCGACGACGGUAGCCGGCCUGAGAGGGCGGCCGGCCACACUGGGACUGAGACACGGCCCAGACUCCUACGGGAGGCAGC